GAAGGGGGGCUAGCGUUGCUCGGGAAUCACUGGGGCGUAAAGGGCGCGUAGGCGGCCGAUUAAGUCGGGGGUGAAAGCCUGUGGCUCAACCACAGAAUUGCCUUCGAUACUGGUUGGCUUGAGACCGGAAGAGGACAGCGGAACUGCGAGUGUAGAGGUGAAAUUCGUAGAUAUUCGCAAGAACACCAGUGGCGAAGGCGGCUGUCUGGUCCGGUUCUGACGCUGAGGCGCGAAAGCGUGGGGAGCAAACAGGAUUAGAUACCCUGGUAGUCCACGCCGUAAACGAUGAACGCCAGCCGUUGGCCUGCUUGCAGGUCAGUGGCGCCGCUAACGCAUUAAGCAUUCCGCCUGGGGAGUACGGUCGCAAAGAUUAA
rnacentral:rRNA from 1 species